AUUUACUUCCUCUUUUUUUUUUCCUUUUCCUUUUCCUAUACCUUCCUUUGGUCCUUAUAAGUAUCCAAAUUGCCCUAAAAUAACUUCUGCACAUGCAGCAUUAGGAAGCAGUGUUUCCCAACCACUACAUUUGAAUGAUUCAUUCCUCUGAGGACCCUCAAGUACUUCAGAAGAACUAAAAAAUGAAUAUCACGUUACACCAAAGAAGAAAUGAAAGCUGCCAGUGUCUUCUGAAGUUAAACAGGCUCCUGUUCUUUGACCCAGCAAUCCAAUCCUAGGUAUUUAAUUGUUCCCUGAGGUUUAAGGCAGUGGACUGAGGAUAAUACAGGCUCCAGCUUUCAUUAGUUCAAUGGAUGAUGCUGUUCAAUCCAUACUGUUUGGGGCAUUUGUUGAAAAUGUCAUUCAGAAGAUAUCAACACUUUCUGAGUCAUGGUUUGAUUGAAUUUAUAGAAUUAUGUGAUAGAAACCACAUUCUUCACAAAAGUCACAAGGCAAUAAUGACGACAAGGGUUGAAGAUGAAAGAUGCCAAAUAUUCUGAUCAAUUCAAUAAGGCAAAAAGACAAGUUAAUUCACUCAGUGCUCCAGGCAUCAACUUCAUAGAAGGAAUGGAAAUUCUACCUGUUUCCUAAAGAACUACAGAGGUGUACACCAAACGGAGGGCAAAUGCUGUUACCACUCAUCGUGCAAGACUUUUGAGGCAAUUUGGACAUAGACAAGUGAUGGGAAAAUUGAAUCAUUAUAUGGCUCAUGACAGUGUUGAAAACUCAAACAUCCAAGGACCUGUACCUUUGCUAAGUGCCAUGCAUAUGUUGCUGAUAAAGAUGCAAUAAAUACUCUUUUGUUAAA
rnacentral:lncRNA from 1 species